rnacentral:rRNA from 1 species
GACGAACGCUGGCGGCGUGCUUAACACAUGCAAGUCGAACGAUGAAGCCGGAGCUUGCUCCGGUGGAUUAGUGGCGAACGGGUGAGUAACACGUGAGCAAUCUGCCCUUGACUCUGGGGUAACUGCGGGAAACUGUAGCUAAUACCGGAUACGACACCUUGGGGCAUCCCAGGGUGUGGAAAGAAUAUCGGUCAAGGAUGAGCUCGCGGCCUAUCAGCUAGUUGGUGAGGUAAUGGCUCACCAAGGCGACGACGGGUAGCCGGCCUGAGAGGGUGACCGGCCACACUGGAACUGAGACACGGUCCAGACUCCUACGGGAGGCAGCAGUGGGGAAUAUUGCACAAUGGGCGAAAGCCUGAUGCAGCAACGCCGCGUGAGGGAUGAAGGCCUUCGGGUUGUAAACCUCUUUUAGCAGGGAAGAAGCGAAAGUGACGGUACCUGCAGAAAAAGCACCGGCUAACUACGUGCCAGCCGCCGCAGUAAAAC